GCACUGCUAUGGCAAAGCAACUGGGGGAGAAGGAGGAAAUCAAGCUGUUGCUGCUGCACAGCAUUUAUCUGACAGAGAGACGCUGAGGCAUCGCUGUCAGCUAACCAGUCUGAUGGUGGUAGAUCACAGGUCAGGGCUGUUGCCAGGAAGGUUGGUGACGUUAUUCAGAGGCUGCUGAUAUCCAGAGUCCAGCGAGAGGGUGCUCAUUGCCUGAAAAAUUACAUCACUUAUUUGGAGUCUAAAUACCACGUGCGGCUGAAGAGCUGCGUACCGAGUAUUGAAAAGAUGCCUUUGCUCGUCAGAGGACUAUACAGUAGACUGCUGCUGUGGGCUGAGGAGAUCCAAACCCAAGGAGAAAAAAACAUAUGAAGCAGCAGGCUUUUACUAUAUGAGAAAGCAUACUUGAAGUUGUUUUCAGAGCAGAAAAUGUGUUCGAAGAGCCCUAAUGACCUACAUAUAGAAAAAUAAAAUAAAAAAACACCUCACAUCAUUAUGAAAGCCAGAAGAGGAAAACAGGAGGUGGAUCUCACUGCUUAACAAAGCACUGAACUUCAUGGAAGCAGAAAAGGAACGGCCGCUGAAGGACUGUGUGGCCUACUUAAGGAGGAAAGGACAGGCAUAUCGAUGCUAUUUCUUUAUAUUUAGAAGCCAUUUGAAAGAAAAGUGACAGGCGUACAAAGGAGCAAGCGUCACAUCAGUAGCCCUAGCAAUGUGGUCCGGGGAACAGGAGCACCUGGAGCACCGCAGUGGAAGUCUCCACCUGAGACACCACAACCCUGUCUCAGGACUGAACCAGCAGUUGUUUAUUCAAUUUACUCUACAGCUGCUAUAGGGCACCAGUGUUUACCCUUUCCUGCCUCCUGCCAAGUCUCAGAGCUCUGCAUUUUAUUGUUUCCUGUCAUCUUUGACCUAUGAAUUGGUUCUGUCACAGCCUCAUAUAACGUACAAAACGCAGCAGUUUCUGGAAGAUCCUGGCUCAGGCUACGAUUGUGAAAGGCACGUCUUUGCGCUGAGGAGCCUAAUGUAAAGAAAUAGAGCAUCGUAUAAACGGACAGGGAAAGGACUCUCUGCAAAAAAUUACAGCUGCAGGAAAAUUAGGCAAAGCAUUUCUAAGUCCCUCCUAAAACAGACGGUCCUGUUCAUUCCUGCCAACCACACAGAAAGAGAACAGGAGAAAGUCCCUAUUAGAGGACUUAUGCUAGCUGCAGAGAUGGCCCGAGGCUUGCAAAGCCACUCAUGCUCCUUCUGUGGUUGUUAGGCACCUCUCCAAAUUCCCCCAGGCUUGAAAUGCCAAACUGUCUGCUGAGGAGCUAACGCCCCAUGCCAAAUAAAAGCCAACCAGUCAACCGUGCCAUGCUAGGAGACACAAAUUAACGUGCUUUGCAGAAGUCCCCCUCCUCUUCCCAGGGUUUCUCAAUAACUGGAUCAAGUCACAUGCCACCAGGGCACGGUUUCACCAGGUUUUUUUUGUUUGUUUGUUUUGGGUUUUUGAAGAAAACUUAAUUCUACCAAACAAAGACAAAGAAUCUAGUGAAAUCUGAGGGAGUAUAGUUUCUGAAUUUUUGAAUUUACCUCCCUUUCAGUGCUUUCAUUGUGUUACCACUGACCAUUUCCCUCUCUCCCCUCUUUUUUAACUCUCUUACCGUGCAGUGCCAAGGAGAGUUCAGCACGAGACUCCUGCUCCAGAAGGUGGUUCUUCUGGGGAGAAGAAGCUGUCCUGAGAGAGGAAAUCCACAAAGAGAUAAAUAUAAACACGC